GUGGAUUAGAUACCCUAGUAGUCCACGCCGUAAACGAUGAAUGCUAGGUGUAGGGGCGAAAGCUUCUGUGCCGGAGUAAACACAAUAAGCAUUCCACCUGGGGAGUACGACCGCAAGGUUGAAACUCAAAGGAAUUGACGGGAGCCCGCACAAGCAGUGGAGUAUGUGGUUUAAUUCGAAGCAACGUGAAGAACCUUACCAGAGCUUGACAUCCUAAGAAUGCCGAGUAAUGUUGGCAGUGCCCUUCGGGGAACUUAGAGACAGGUGGUGCACGGCCGUCGUCAACU
rnacentral:rRNA from 1 species